UACGGAGGGUGCAAGCGUUGUUCGGAAUUAUUGGGCGUAAAGGGCAGGUAGGUGGUCUUGUAAGUCUACUGUGAAAUCCCCGGGCUUAACUCGGGAAGUGCGGUAGAUACUGUAAGACUAGAGUGCUGAAGGGGUGCGUGGAAUUCCUGGUGUAGCGGUGAAAUGCGCAGAUAUCAGGAGGAACACCGGUGGCGAAGGCGGGUCUCUGGGCCGAUACUGACGCUGAGGAGCGAAAGCGUGGGGAGCGAACAGG
rnacentral:rRNA from 1 species